CGGAGUGUAGCGCAGGUGGUAGCGCACUGGCUUUGGGAGCCAGAUGUCGGCGGUUCGAGUCCGUCCACUCCGA
rnacentral:tRNA from 1 species